UCGAGGAUCUUUCGCAAUGGACGAAAGUCUGACGAAGCGACGCUGUGUGAGCGAUGAAGGCCUUCGGGUUGUAAAGCUCUUUCGCAUAAGAACAAGAAAGGUUGGCUAAUAACCAAUCGAUUUGAGGGUACUAUGUAAAGAAGCACCGGCUAACUCCGUGCCAGCAGCUGCGGUAAUACGGAGGGUGCAAGCAUUAAUCGGAUUUAUUGGGCGUAAAGGGCGCGUAGGCGGGUUUGAAAGUCAGAUGUGAAAUUCCGAAGCUCAACUUCGGAGCUGCAUUUGAAACUCCAAGUCUUGAGGAAUGGCGGAGAAAAUGGAAUUCCACGUGUAGCGGUGAAAUGCGUAGAUAUGUGGAAGAACACCGGUGGCGAAAGCGGUUUUCUAGCUUUUUCCUGACGCUGAGGCGCGAGAGCAAGGGGAGCAAACAGGAUUAGAUACCCCCGUAGUCC
rnacentral:rRNA from 1 species